GACGAACGCUGGCGGCGCGCCUAAUACAUGCAAGUCGAGCGGACAGAUGGGAGCUUGCUCCCUGAUGUUAGCGGCGGACGGGUGAGUAACACGUGGGUAACCUGCCUGUAAGACUGGGAUAACUCCGGGAAACCGGGGCUAAUACCGGAUGCUUGAUUGAACCGCAUGGUUCAAUUAUAAAAGGUGGCUUCGGCUACCACUUACAGAUGGACCCGCGGCGCAUUAGCUAGUUGGUGAGGUAACGGCUCACCAAGGCAACGAUGCGUAGCCGACCUGAGAGGGUGAUCGGCCACACUGGGACUGAGACACGGCCCAGACUCCUACGGGAGGCAGCAGUAGGGAAUCUUCCGCAAUGGACGAAAGUCUGACGGAGCAACGCCGCGUGAGUGAUGAAGGUUUUCGGAUCGUAAAACUCUGUUGUUAGGGAAGAACAAGUACCGUUCGAAUAGGGCGGUACCUUG
rnacentral:rRNA from 1 species